CGCUACCAUGAAGAUGGACUGUCGUUUGGUUAAUUUUGGUUUUUUUUUUUUUUUCUUAAAGGCUCGAAGGAAUAGAUAGAAUCAGUAAAACGACGGCGCUGAAUGACAAGGGAUUUCCACUUCUCCAUUCAUGCAAAGCUCAAUCGUUGAUUUCAAAAAUCUCAACCUUCCAAGCCCCAAACAUAGCGUAGAAAACAAGGAAAAAAAAGAAAGAUUCCAUUGCAGAAUCAUAUGAAAAAGGAAGUAGAAAACACCUUCGAGAAGAGGAAGAGGAAGAGAUCGAAGCUGAAGAAACUCCCUCACUCGUGGACAGUCCCGCGUUCACCGACACAGUGGUGAGUGCGAGCUCAGUUUCGACACAUCGACAGGGUGCUGAUUCAGCCUUUCAUUUUACAUUCACAACUAUAUAGCAGUGAACAGAACGCUAGUUGAUAGAGAAUUAGAGAUGCUUUUUACAAUGUGAUGUACGGAUGAUGUGAUAUGAUAUGUUAUGCAGACGUUGAGGAGAGAGAAGGUAUUGUGUGUUUUCAAACUUAAUACUGGACAAGAUGAUCAUGCUAUAAUGUUUUCGGAUGAUCAUUCAACCGAGAUACACUUUGUUGUGAAAAGGAUGGAAGUUUUUGAGUGGUUUAAAACACAUGUUAUUGAUAAAAAGCCGGAUCCUAGCAUUGACCAUCGUGAGCUUCUGUAGAUAUCUUAUAGAGCAUUGGUUAUGCAUGUGGGAUGGGUAUGUGUGCGUGCGAGCACACGGGUCUCACAACUUUGAAACCCUUCGAAGUGGUGCUUACUCUUAUCACCUGGUGGAAGGCUGAAGGAUGAGACAUCUUCCCAUAAUCAAUGCUGGUCUUUUUGUUCAAAUAGAAUCAAUGGGAUUGUAGUAGCACUACCAAUUGACAUGUCCUCCAGUAAGAGUGACAGCUAAACGAGGAUUGGGCGAUCACAUGCUCAAUUUUAAAUGAAUGCCAGAUGAUGUGAGUGUCUUCUCUACUAGGUCUUACUUGUUCUCUGUCAUUCUGCAUCUGUUUUGUUAUUGAUGGCGUAACUUUUCCAUGAUUAAUUGAAUCAAAUUGCUACAAUAUAAUUUCAAGCAGUAGCAUGGGUAUCUUCAAGGUUUACCUAUCAUCUAUUUAACGAAGUGCUGACAGCGUCGUCUUCAUUACAUUUUUCAUGCUGAAAAUCAGAUGAACAGCUAUAAACUACUGUUGCAUUCUAAUAUAUGAGAGAGAGAAAGAGUUGUUUGAAUAAUUAUUAUCUGAAUCCCACAACUUUAUAUACCAAAUUUUAUUAGUUCUGCAUAA